GACCCGAACCUGGGUGAUCUAUCCAUGAACAGGAUGAAGCUUGGGUGAAACUAAGUGGAGGUCCGAACCGACUGAUGUUGAAGAAUCAGCGGAUGAGUUGUGGUUAGGGGUUAAAUGCCACUCGAACCUGUAACACCUCG
rnacentral:ncRNA from 2 species